UACGGGGGGGGCAAGCGUUGUUCGGAAUUACUGGGCGUAAAGGGCGCGUAGGCGGCCUUCUAAGUCGGACGUGAAAUCCCUCGGCUUAACCGGGGAACUGCAUCUGAUACUGGAUGGCUUGAGAUUGGGAGAGGGAUGCGGAAUUCCAGGUGUAGCGGUGAAAUGCGUAGAUAUCUGGAGGAACACCGGUGGCGAAGGCGGGUCUCUGGGCAACAACUGACGCUGAGGAGCGAAAGCGUGGGGAGCGAACAGG
rnacentral:rRNA from 1 species